GCUUCCUCUAACGCUCACAGUCCUGCAAAUGCCACAUUCAAUGAUCUGAUCUCUUGUCAAAAAGGUGCUUUUUUUUUUUGUUGUUUGUUUGUGUUUGUGUGUGUGUGUGUGUGCUG
rnacentral:lncRNA from 1 species